GACGUAGGGGGCAAGCGUUGUUCGGAAUUAUUGGGCGUAAAGCGCUCGUAGGCGGGACAGGAAGUUCGUGUUGAAAGACCUCGGCUCAACUGAGGGACCGGCUCGAAUACUCUUGUUCUUGAGGCAAUCAGAGGGUGAUGGAAUUCCCGGUGUAGCGGUGAAAUGCGUAGAUAUUGGGAAGAACACCGGUGGCGAAGGCGGCGACCUGGUCCUUUUACUGACGCUGAGGCGCGAAAGCGUGGGGAGCAAACAGG
rnacentral:rRNA from 1 species